UACGUAGGCAGCAAGCGUUGUUCGGAGUUACUGGGCGUAAAGGGUGCGUAGGCGGCUUUUUAAGUCUGGUGUGAAAUCUCCCGGCUCAACUGGGAGGGUGCGCCGAAUACUGAGUGGCUAGAGUGCGGGAGAGGAAAGUGGAAUUCCUGGUGUAGCGGUGAAAUGCGUAGAUAUCAGGAGGAACACCGGUGGUGUAAACGGCUUUCUGGACCGUAACUGACGCUGAGGCACGAAAGCGUGGGUAGCAAACAGG
rnacentral:rRNA from 1 species